CAUAAUUGAAAAAUUAAUUCAUGCAAUGUCCUGGCUGGUAUAGAGUUAAUUUUCUUCUUAGUAACCUUCUUUUUCUUCUUAGCAGCCACGGUUUGGCUUUAACAUAUGAAUAAUGCUGACAACACGCUGAUGAUUUAGUUGUUGCUAAGUAGUGCUUACCUUGAGCCAAAGAUUUUCCAGUUUCCCAUGCUCUGCCAAUGAGGAGGUGUACAAGAAGCUGAGAUGGAACAUGGCCAGGACAGCUGACCUGAACUGGUCAAAGGGAUGCUGUAUACCAUAGAACAUGGUCGAGAAGUUGGUCCAGAAGACAACUGGGGGAAGUUGUCUGGGAGCUACCAAUUGCUGCUCAGAGACUGGCUGAGCACCAGACAGCGGGUGGUGAGCUGUGGUUAGCCAAACUUCCUGUUGCUUAAAAAUAGCUGUACUGGAAAUCCCAUGAGAAAAAAAGCUUGUGGAGGACAAGAAAUCCUAUUCAAUCCUAUUCUUGCUCAAAAGAAAGCACACUGGGAGAGGUUCAGCUAACAGGAGGUAAGAAACAUGUCAUGUAACCAGAGAACAGGUUGUGUAGCUGGCAUGUGCUUGCCUUGUGCAUGAGGCAGUGAUUGGUUGAGGAGAUACAUGGACACCACAUGAUCAGAGAACUCAUUAG